CUUUUCCGUCUCAGGAAAACAGCGUGCUUGGUGGGUUUGAGAGAACUUCUGUUUUUCUGUCCUCCAUGUUUGAGGCGGAGAAAGAACAUUUUGUUCUUGAGGUGAUGAUGGAUUGAAUGUAAAGUUACGCACAAAGUGGGAUGUUUAGUUGGAACUGUUCCCUCAGGAAAUACGAUUUUUUGGGCGUGGGGGACAGGGUUUCGCUCUGUCGCCUAGGCCUGAGUGCAGUGGCGCAAUAACGGCUCACUGCAGUCUGGAACUCCAAGGGAUCUUCCCACCUCAGCCUCCGAGUAGCUGGAACUACAGGCGCGCGCGACCAUGCUUGGCUUAUUUUUAUUUUGUAGAGAGGAGGUCUCACCAUGUUGCCCAGCCUAGUCUGGAACUCCUGGGUUCAAGCGAUCCUCCAUCUCGGCCUCCCAAAGUGCCAGGAUUACAGGCAACCGCACCGAGCCAGGAAGUGAUUAAUUUUUUUUUAAGUCACUUCACAUUCCAGAAACAUUAAUCUCGACAACUCUAGGUUG
rnacentral:lncRNA from 1 species